rnacentral:lncRNA from 1 species
CCAGGUGUGAUAAAAAUACAGUGAAUGCUUAAAUGUUAAAAUAUUUAUUGCACAAAAGGACACACUGCCGUUAUCCCCCUCAAAAAUACACUGUCCUGCUUCCAACACACUCACCCCGUGGCUCUUGUCACUUUCAGAAGCAGCUCUGGACGCCCCCUUCCAGGAGUGUCUUUAGUUGAGCUGUGGGCCCUCCCUCGUUAUCUCGAACUGAUACAGAAGUUUACUUUUUGUGGGGAUCUUGACUUUAGCAAAGAGCCGGAAGGUCCCUAGCGCCGGACCCGGUCAGGACAGUGGAUGAGGGCACAAUGAUGUUUUAUGAGCUUGCCUCUCCUUUGGGUGGCAUUCGGAUAGUGAGCAGCCCUCGCUGUAACUUCGAUGACACCUGGUACAGACACAAUAGGCGAAGGACGUCCAGAGCUGCUUCGGAAAGUAGCAACAAUGAUGGGACGGAGCCAGCGGAGAGCGGCGACGACGGUGCAGCAGCAGCAGGAAGAGGAGGAGGCGGCGCCCCGCUCCCCGGCAGUGACCACGAGCUCACCCCUCCUCCCGGUGACACACGAUCCCGCGGGCGGGCACAAAAGCCGGGAAAUUUCGGAGCCAGUCUGGGCCGGGGAAGAGCACUGGGCUCCUGAGCCGGGCUUCUGCUGAUUCUCCAAGACUGCCGGGAAGAGGGUGGCCGGCCCAGCGGCAAACAGGAAAUCCAGAAUUUAUAGAUGACCCGGUUACAAGGCAAAUGUUUUGGAACAAAUUGUUCUUCUCUCAAACCCUUGUUUUCCACGAGUUUU